AACGUUCAUCUCUCUAAAAAUCGCGAAUCGAUUUGAUUCCCUAUUAGGGAGACGGAAGUAGGGAGUAUUUACAUAGUCAUCCCGAAGGAACGCGCC
rnacentral:ncRNA from 2 species